UACGAAGGGGGCUAGCGUUGCUCGGAAUCACUGGGCGUAAAGGGCUCGUAGGCGGUUUGUCGCGUCGGGAGUGAAAACUCAGGGCUCAACCCUGAGCGUGCUUCCGAUACGGGCAGACUAGAGGUAUGCAGGGGAGAACGGAAUUCCUGGUGUAGCGGUGGAAUGCGCAGAUAUCAGGAGGAACACCGGUGGCGAAGGCGGGUCUCUGGGCCGAUACUGACGCUGAGGAGCGAAAGCGUGGGGAGCAAACAGG
rnacentral:rRNA from 1 species